rnacentral:lncRNA from 1 species
CGAACCAGGACUUUCUCCUUCCCAGUCUCAGUCCACCCACGUGAGAGGAAACACCUACCUUCGUCUCUUUUCUCAGUAUCCCAGCCCACGGUUUACAAUUUUGACACAUCCAAAUAUACAAAGUUAGGUUAUAGAUUUAUCAGUAAAAGGCAUAGCUUUCAAAUCCAAGUAUUAUUCUCUUGUUUAGUUCCUUGAGUUUGCUCUAUUAUCUGUAACUUAAUCUAAAUUCACACUUAUUGUCCUUGAAAGUGACUUUUUCUCUAAUGCCUUAUUCUCUUUUCGUAGAACAGAAUAGAAUAGAAGGCACAUUAUCUGGAAGAAUGUUCGUGAAUAAAGAUGCUAUAUGAAGGGGGUUUCCAGCAUCUGAAACUGGAAUAACACAGACCCCUGAGAAUUCUGCUAAAGCAAGACUAGAAGUCUGUGCA